rnacentral:rRNA from 1 species
UACGUAGGGUGCAAGCGUUGUCCGGAAUUAUUGGGCGUAAAGAGUUCGUAGGCGGUUUGUCGCGUCUGCUGUGAAAACUCGGGGCUCAACUCCGAGCUUGCAGUGGGUACGGGCAGACUAGAGUGCGGUAGGGGAGACUGGAAUUCCUGGUGUAGCGGUGAAAUGCGCAGAUAUCAGGAGGAACACCGGUGGCGAAGGCGGGUCUCUGGGCAAUAACUGACGCUGAGGAGCGAAAGCGUGGGGAGCGAACAGG